CGGCGGCUGGCGAGCAAGGUUCCGCGUCCCCCGAGGGAGAACCCGCCAGGAAGGAGCGGGCAUGGCCGCGAAUAGGAACUUGAAGCAAGUGCGGAUCGAAAACAGCUCCCCAGCGGCGCCGCUGGGCAUGGUGGGGGGUGGCGGCGGCGGCAACCUGAAAGGAUUGCGCGGCCUAGAAGCGGAGAGUGAGGCGGCGGCGGCGGCCAUGGCUCUGGCGCCGAGCAAAGAAGGUGGUGGAGGUGAGGAGCAGGGGGUUGGCUUCACUAUUGAUAUCAAGAGCUUUCUCAAACCCGGCGAGAAGAGCUACACGCAGCGCUGCCGGCUGUUCGUGGGGAAUCUGCCUACUGAUAUCACCGAGGAGGAUUUCAAGCGCCUUUUCGAGCGCUACGGGGAACCCAGUGAGGUCUUCAUCAAUCGGGACCGUGGCUUCGGCUUCAUCCGCCUGGAAUCUAGGACCCUGGCUGAAAUAGCAAAGGCAGAACUUGAUGGUACUAUUUUGAAGAGCAGACCACUUCGAAUUCGAUUUGCUACCCAUGGAGCUGCCUUAACUGUGAAGAAUCUGUCACCUGUGGUUUCCAAUGAGCUGCUGGAACAAGCAUUCUCUCAAUUCGGGCCAGUGGAAAGAGCUGUUGUUGUAGUAGAUGAUCGCGGCAGAGCUACAGGGAAGGGUUUUGUAGAGUUUGCAGCAAAACCUCCAGCACGGAAAGCUCUAGAAAGAUGCAGUGAUGGGGCAUUCUUGCUUACAACAACACCUCGACCUGUUGUUGUAGAACCAAUGGAACAAUUUGAUGAUGAGGAUGGACUCCCUGAGAAGUUAAUGCAAAAAACACAACAGUACCACAAGGAAAGAGAACAGCCACCACGCUUUGCUCAGCCUGGAACAUUUGAGUUUGAGUAUGCUUCACGGUGGAAGGCUCUUGAUGAGAUGGAAAAGCAGCAGCGGGAACAGGUUGACAGGAACAUUAGAGAAGCCAAAGAGAAACUUGAGGCAGAAAUGGAAGCAGCUAGACAUGAGCAUCAGCUAAUGCUGAUGAGGCAAGAUCUCAUGCGUCGUCAGGAAGAAUUGAGGCGCUUGGAAGAACUUCGAAACCAAGAGCUUCAAAAACGCAAGCAGAUACAAUUGAGACAUGAAGAGGAACACAGACGUCGUGAAGAAGAGAUGCUACGCCAGAGGGAGCAGGAGGAAUUACGACGACAACAGGAGGGAGGAGGAUUUAAGCCAAAUUUCAUGGAUAAUGUAAGCCCGAACAAAUGCAAACAUGAACACAGCUCUGCGGAUCAUCUCGGGUUCCCUUUGGAAACCCCAAAUAAGUGGCCACAAGGGAUUGUCUGUUUUCCUGAGAAAAGCUCGGCAUUGAAGUUCUUCUUUCUGUGUGCUGGAUAGUGGUUCUGCUACUCUAAAAAUCAUACCUGUGCCUGCUGGUCCAAAAUGCCAUAUGGUCACUUCAGUGGAAGUCAGAAUUUACCUGUGCUGCUAUGUGUUGCUAGGUUACUAUUAAAAUCUUAAAAUGCAGAUGAAGACUGGCUUGUGCAGAAUCCUUCUGCUAUCUUACACAGACAAAAGGGAAUCCUUAACCAGGUUUCAGUACAAGACUGCAGUAUGAACCUGGCUGACAAAGUGUACUGGCCUAACGAAAUUGUGUUAAGUGUUGAGUCAGGCUGCUGCUCCUGGACUUCCUGAAUGGUGGGAGUGAGAUCCAGGUAACCUUGGUGGGGAGGGCUGUCUGAAAAAUUGUCUGCAUUUCUCAGCUCUUUAUCCAACUGUAUUUGCUGAUGUGUGGCUCUGUUAUUUGUCAUUGGAGUCUUCUUAAGUGCUUUACUUUGAUGACAAAAGCACACUUGCAAGGAAGUUAUCACUCAAGUGUCUCUUGUAACUCCUCAGCCUGAAUCAUACUUCUUGGAAAUGUUCCUCUCCAUUGAAUGCAUUAGGUUUCAAUGAAAGCCGCUGGUGGCUGCCCACUCUCAGAACUGACCACGGCUGUUACAUUGUGAUGAUGUGCAAAAUGCUGCUUGCACCUUGGAGUUACAAGGACCAUCCCGACGGGCUGGACCUGUGAGACCUACCUGAGGGAAAAGGGCUGUUUGAAGAAUGUGAAUGCAUUUGCUUGUGAGGUCCAAGACCUCUUCCUGCAUGAGGAGACAAGUUACAGUUUGUGAUGUUACUGUCUUCAGCCUCUGGCACAGAAGAUGGUGCUAGUCCAGCAUUUCAUAGUAAACCUGAUGUUGGCCUACUUUGAUAUGUAACUCAAGUACUAAUGCCCUUUUCAUCUAAACUGCACUCCAAGUAGAUUGCUUUCUAGAAACAGCAGCGUUAAGGAAAAUGGGUGUCAGUAAAAGGAUUAAAGUUUGUACAUUCUACAAGAAUAAUAAGAGUAAAUUAUAUGUUAAAUGACUGCUCCUUGGUUCAAAUGAUUGCUGUUGAACUUCAAAAAAGCCUUUUAAAAAGUAUGAAAAUAUUUUCAAGCCCUACAAUGUAUGAUAAAAAAUAGGAAAGUGGUGGGGUUUAAAGAAAAGAGGUAAUGUGGAUUCUGUUUAUGCUGCAGUAGUUUAGAAGAACACAAAAGUAAUAAUUACCUAGAAAAAAAUGGUAUGAGCCAGUGACAGCUGAAAAGAACUGGAAGGAAAUGUUAAUCAUAGGGGAGAUUACAGCUGCAGUAAACUGUCUGUACUGUUGAGUAGGAAGUUAUGCUACAAAUGCCUGCUGUCUUAAUGUAGCCAAAUAACAAGAUGAAAAACCAUGAAUGAAGACUGGAAAAUUAAUUUGAUGUGAUUUGAACAUUGGCCUGUAACAUAUCACAAGGUUUUUUUCAAUUUCUAUAGCUAUUGUAAAACUGUUUCAAAUUAAAUGAGUAACAGGACAUUUAUUUUCUAUUUCCUGAAAUCAGCAAGGCAGUGGACAUGAAUUGAAGACUUGACAGGAACUUCAUGCAGUUAAAUCCUGCAGUGGGAACUGAACUAAGCCGAUGCAGUUGCAGAUCCUGGGUGCAGACUAGUGGUGAAGCAGCUUUGUGGAAGCUGAUCUGGGCCCUGAGGGACAAGUGAAGAUGAAGGUAUCCACCCACAUCCUGGGCUUCAUUGGAAGAUCAUGGCUGAGCAGGGGCCAGAAGAGCAGUCUCUCUGUUUGGUACUUCUGAGACUGCAGCAGAAACACUGUGCCCAGUUCUGGGCUCUUGAAGAAAAGAUGUGGGAGCAAGUCCCAUGGAAGCCAUUUGGAAUCAGAAGGCUGAAACACAGGAGCCAGGGGGCCAGGAAGCAGGGUUCUUUCCAGAUGGAGAACAGGAGGUGGGGGUGGUUAAGAGCUCCUGUUAAUUCAGCUGUGUAAGAGAAGUGUGUAGAGAAGAUGGAGCCAGGCUCAUGGUAGUGGUGCAUGGUGGCAGUCUUGUAGCACUGUUUGAGUGCAUGGAAGUGUUGCACCAUACCAAUAAUAAAAACAGUGCAAGGCAGUACUGUGUGACUGUA